rnacentral:rRNA from 1 species
UUACAUACACAUCCGCCAGUACUACGAGCACAGCUUAAAACCCAAAGACUUGGCGGUGUCUCAGACCCACCUAGAGGAGCCUGUUCUAGAACCGAUAAUCCCCGUUAAACCUCACCACUUCUUGUUUUACCCGCCUAUAUACCGCCGUCGUCAGCUUACCCUGUGAAGGUCUAAUAGUAAGCAAAAUUAGCUAACCUAAAAACGUCAGGUCGAGGUGUAGCGUACGAAGGGGGAAGAAAUGGGCUACAUUUUCUAUAUCAGAAUAUUACGAACAACAUGUUGAAACUACAUGCUCGAAGGUGGAUUUAGUAGUAAAAAGAAAACAGAGUAUCCUUUUGAACUAGGCUCUGAGACGCGCACACACC